rnacentral:rRNA from 1 species
AUUGAACGCUGGCGGCAGGCCUAACACAUGCAAGUCGAACGAGUGGCGGACGGGUGAGUAAUGUAUGGGAAACUGCCUGAUGGAGGGGGAUAACUACUGGAAACGGUAGCUAAUACCGCAUACCAUCAGAUGUGCCCAGAUGGGAUUAGCUAGUUGGUGGGGUAAAGGCUCACCAAGACGACAAUCCCUAGCUGGUCUGAGAGGAUGACCAGCCACAAUGGCACUGAGACACGGCCCAGACUCCGACGGGAGGCAGUAGUGGGGAAUAUUGCACAAUGGGCGCAAGCCUGAGGCAGCCAUGCCGCGUGUAUGAAGAAGGCCUUAGGGUUGUAAAGUACUUUCAGCGGGGAGGCGUUACCCGCAGAAGAAGCACCGGCUAACUCCGUGCCAGCAGCCGCGGUAAGUC